rnacentral:tRNA from 1 species
GGCCCCGUAGCUCAUCAGGAUAGAGCGCGAGAUUCCUAAUCUCGAGGUAACAGGUUCGAGUCCUGUCGGGGUCACCA